rnacentral:rRNA from 1 species
UACGUAGGGCGCAAGCGUUGUCCGGAAUUAUUGGGCGUAAAGAGCUCGUAGGCGGUCCGUCACGUCUGCUGUGAAAACCCGGGGCUUAACCCCGGGCUUGCAGUGGAUACGGGCAGACUAGAGGCAGGUAGGGGAGAAUGGAAUUCCCGGUGUAGCGGUGAAAUGCGCAGAUAUCAGGAGGAACACCGGUGGCGAAGGCGGGUCUCUGGGCAGUAACUGACGCUGAGGAGCGAAAGCGUGGGGAGCGAACAGG